rnacentral:rRNA from 1 species
CAAUAGCGUAUAUUAAAGUUGUUGCAGUUAAAAGCUCGUAGUCGGAUUUUGGCAUCACGCCGAACUGUCUGCCGAUUGGUAAGUACGGUUUGGCGGGUGCUCUCCUUCCGGAGGCUCGUUCCCUUCUUAACUGAAGGGUUCGUUGGUUCCGGGUCUUUUACUUUGAAGAAAUGAGAGUGUUUCAAGCAGGCAUGCGCCGUGAAUACGUUAGCAUGGAAUAAUAGCAUCGGACCUCGUUCCAAAGCUGUUGGUUUCUUGGACCGAGGUAAAGGUGAAUAGGGAUUGUUGGGGGCAUUCGUAUUUAACUGUCAGAGGUGAAAUUCUUGGAUUUGUUGAAGACGGACUACUGCGAAAGCAUCUGCCAAAGAUGUUCUCAUUGAUCAAGAACGAAAGUUAGGUGAUCGAAGAUGAUCAGAUACCAU